rnacentral:rRNA from 1 species
GAUGAACGCUGGCGGCGUGCCUAAUACAUGCAAGUCGGGCGAACGGACGAGAAGCUUGCUUCUCUGAUGUUAGCGGCGGACGGGUGAGUAACACGUGGAUAACCUACCUAUAAGACUGGGAUAACUUCGGGAAACCGGAUCUAAUACCGGAUGAUAUUUUGAACCGCAUGGUUCAAAAGUGAAAGACGGUCUUGCUGUCACUUAUAGAUGGAUCCGCGCUGCAUUAGCUAGUUGGUAAGGUAACGGCUUACCAAGGCAACGAUGCAUAGCCGACCUGAGAGGGUGAUCGGCCACACUGGAACUGAGACACGGUCCAGACUCCUACGGGAGGCAGCAGUAGGGAAUCUUCCGCAAUGGGCGAAAGCCUGACGGAGCAACGCCGCAUGAGUGAUGAAGGUCUUCGGAUCGUAAAACUCUGUUAUUAGGGAAGAACAUAUGUGUAAGUAACUGUGCACAUCUUGACGGUACCUAAUCAGAAAGCCACGGCUAACUACGUG